rnacentral:rRNA from 1 species
GAGUUUGAUCGUGGCUCAGGAUGAACGCUGGCGGCGUGCCUAAUACAUGCAAGUCGAGCGAACGGACGAGAAGCUUGCUUCUCUGAUGUUAGCGGCGGACGGGUGAGUAACACGUGGAUAACCUACCUAUAAGACUGGGAUAACUUCGGGAAACCGGAGCUAAUACCGGGAUAAUAUUUUGAACCGCAUGGUUCAAAAGUGAAAGACGGUCUUGCUGUCACUUAUAGAUGGAUCCGCGCUGCAUUAGCUAGUUGGUAAGGUAACGGCUUACCAAGGCAACGAUGCAUAGCCGACCUGAGAGGGUGAUCGGCCACACUGGAACUGAGACACGGUCCAGACUUCCUACGGGAGGCAGCAGUAGGGAAUCUUCCGCAGUGGGCGAAAGCCUGACGGAGCAACGCCGCGUGAGUGAUGAAGGUCUUCGGAUCGUAAAACUCUGUUAUUAGGGAAG